CAGUGUGGGAGGGGACUAUCUAGGGGUAUGCAUACCAGGAGGUGGGAGUUUUGAAGGGGUCAUCUUGGAGUCUAGUUACCAUGGUAUUGAAGAUGAAUGGAGUUGUCCAGAUGGAUGAGGGAGAAGAAAGGCCUUCCAGGCAGAGGAAAUAACAUGCAAAGGCACAGAAAUGUAAAUAGCAGGGCUUAGCAUUUUCAGGACAUUGUAACUGGUUUGGAGAAAAUAGGGAGAGAGGAGAGCUUACUGAAGAAAUCAGAGAGUGCCUUCUAUACCAAGUGAAGGAGUUAGGCCUUCAUCAUGUAGGCCAGUGGUUUUCAAGUGUUUCUGCAGAUUGAAAUCACGUGAGGAGAUUUUAACACUUCCAAUGCCAAAGCUACACCCGUAUCUGUCAAAUAGGACUCUCUAGCAGUGGACCUGGACAUCAGUGGUUUGAAAAGUUUCUCAGGUGAUUCCAGUAUGGAGCCAAGGUUGAGCGCCCAUGCUGCAGGCAGCAUGAAUGUAGAAACUGAAGAUUGGAGAGGUGAAGUAACUAGUCAAACAAAGGUCAUGCUGCGUGUUAGUGGCAGAGCAGGGACUGGGGCCCAGGGCCCAGAUACCCUGAGUCUUCACCUUGUGUUCUUUCCACCCUGCCACCCAGCUCCCAUCGUCCCUGGAGACUUGAAGACUGGCCCUUCUUGGCUUCUCUUCUCCAGGCUGAAUGAUUCAGAUCUCCUAUUGUGUCGUCUGACAUCUCCUAUCCCACCCUUUCGUCAUCCUGGAGGUCCCUCAUCAAUCCAGUAUAAUUGGAGCAGCAUCCCUCCUGGUCCCCUGGGGAGCAGGAGCAGACGAUGACUAAUGCUUUGGAGACGUGGACCCAUCUCCUGGCGCCUCUGGAUCUCUGCUGGUUGAUUUCGUACAGUCAUAUGGGGAUGGGCACCCUGUCUGACUCAGACCUACCCCUCUGUCCUACCUGGAAAGCUGUUUGAUUUCAUCAAAUCCAUCUUCCCAGAAAAAUAGAGCUUACAGGGACCAGGGAGAUCAUUCUCUGUUAUUUAAAAAGUGAGGACACUGAGGCUCAGUGAUGCAGGUUGAUCAGGCAGAUCUGGGAGUGGGACCCAAGCCUCCUGACUCCCAUUGUGGUGUUAGGGAGAAGGCACUGGAGGCAGGCAGGCCUGGGUAUGAAUCCCAACUGUGUGAACUUGGGCAAGUGAGUUAAAUGAUGCUCAAUUUCCUCUUCUGUAAAAUGGCAAUACCCAGCUCAGGGAUGUUAUAAGGAUUAAAUGAGAUAACUAAUGUAGAGCAUGGAGCACUGUGCUCAAUGAAUGCUAGUUAUUCAGUAGAGCACAGUGGGUAAGACUUUGGGCUCGGGGGUCAGAGAAACUGUUCAAAUCCUAGACACCCACUUAUGAGCUGUGUGACCUUGGACGACAGUUAACAAGAGCUAAAACUUAUUGAAUUUACUUGUUCCAGGCAUUAUGCCAUGUGCCUUAGAGAUAUUAUCGUAAGUAACUUUCCCACUUUUCCCUGCCUUUUAUGAGCUGGGACUCAUCAGUAUCCUGAUUUUUUUGAAUGAAGACACUAAGGCAUGGAUCAGUUUUGUCAUUUUACUUCACCAUUCCGUAUUUUCUGAUUAUUCUCCAGUCUAAAUCCUUUUCUGCCAAACACACCCAUCUUCUCUCUCUCAAUGCAGGAGAAUUUUCUCCUUUUGAGCUUUAGAACAGGCCAUCAUCUCUUAAAUACCCCCUGGCCUCUUCUCUUCACCAAGUUCUGUCCCUCCGCUCUGUUCCAGCGUUUCUGCUGACUCUCC
ensembl:lncRNA